rnacentral:rRNA from 1 species
AGCAGCUUGCUGCUUCGCUGACGAGUGGCGGACGGGUGAGUAAUGUCUGGGAAACUGCCUGAUGGAGGGGGAUAACUACUGGAAACGGUAGCUAAUACCGCAUAACGUCGCAAGACCAAAGAGGGGGACCUUCGGGCCUCUUGCCAUCGGAUGUGCCCAGAUGGGAUUAGCUAGUAGGUGGGGUAACGGCUCACCUAGGCGACGAUCCCUAGCUGGUCUGAGAGGAUGACCAGCCACACUGGAACUGAGACACGGUCCAGACUCCUACGGGAGGCAGCAGUGGGGAAUAUUGCACAAUGGGCGCAAGCCUGAUGCAGCCAUGCCGCGUGUAUGAAGAAGGCCUUCGGGUUGUAAAGUACUUUCAGCGGGGAGGAAGGCGAUAAGGUUAAUAACCUUGUCGAUUGACGUUACCCGCAGAAGAAGCACCGGCUAACUCCGUGCCAGCAGCCGCGGUAAUACGGAGGGUGCAAGCGUUAAUCGGAAUUACUGGGCGUAAAGCGCACGCAGGCGGUCUGUCAAGUCGGAUGUGAAAUCCCCGGGCUCAACCUGGGAACUGCAUUCGAAACUGGCAGGCUAGAGUCUUGUAAAGGGGGGUAGAAUUCCAGGUGUAGCGGUGAAAUGCGUAGAGAUCUGGAGGAAUACCGGUGGCGAAGGCGGCCCCCUGGACAAAGACUGACGCUCAGGUGCGAAAGCGUGGGG